rnacentral:rRNA from 1 species
AGAGUUUGAUCCUGGCUCAGGAUGAACGCUGGCGGCGUGCUUAACACAUGCAAGUCGAACGAAGCACUUAUCUUUGAUUCUUCGGAUGAAGAGAUUUGUGACUGAGUGGCGGACGGGUGAGUAACGCGUGGGUAACCUGCCUCAUACAGGGGGAUAACAGUUAGAAAUGACUGCUAAUACCGCAUAAGACCACGGAGCCGCAUGGCUCAGUGGGAAAAACUCCGGUGGUAUGAGAUGGACCCGCGUCUGAUUAGGUAGUUGGUGGGGUAACGGCCUACCAAGCCAACGAUCAGUAGCCGGCCUGAGAGGGUGACCGGCCACAUUUGGACUGAGACACGGCCCAAACUCCUACGGGAGGCAGCAGUGGGGAAUAUUGCACAAUGGGGGAAACCCUGAUGCAGCGACGCCGCGUGAGCGAAGAAGUAUUUCGGUAUGUAAAGCUCUAUCAGCAGGGAAGAAAAUGACGGUACCUGACUAAGAAGCACCGGCUAAAUACGUGCCAGCAGCCGCGGU